rnacentral:rRNA from 1 species
UACAGAGGGUGCGAGCGUUGUUCGGAAUUAUUGGGCGUAAAGCGCGAGUAGGCGGCUUGUUAAGUCGCGUGUGAAAGCUCCCGGCUCAACCGGGAAAGUGCGCGCGAAACUGGCGAGCUUGAGUGCCGGAGAGGGUGGCGGAAUUCCCGGUGUAGAGGUGAAAUUCGUAGAUAUCGGGAGGAACACCAGAGGCGAAGGCGGCCACCUGGAAGGACACUGACGCUGAGACGCGAAAGCGUGGGGAGCGAACAGG